rnacentral:rRNA from 1 species
GAUGAACGCUGGCGGCGUGCCUAAUACAUGCAAGUCGAGCGAAGCGGGGACGGGUGAGUAACAUGUGGAUAAACUCCUUUAAGUCAGGGAUAACUUCGGGAAACCGGUGAUAACCCGGAUAAUUAUAGAUGGAUCCUCGCUGCAUUAGCUAGUUGGUAAGGUAAUGGCUUACCAAGGCAACGAUGCAUAGCCGACCUGAGAGGGUGAUCGGCCACACUGGAACUGAGACACGGUCCAGACUCCUACGGGAGGCAGCAGUAGGUAAUCUUCCGCAAUGGGCGAAAGCCUGACGGAUCAACGCCGCGUGAGUGAUGAAGGUCUUCGGAUCGUAAAGCUCUUAUAUUAGGGAAGCGGUACCUAAUCAGAAAGCCACGGCUAACUACGUGCCAGCAGCCGCGGUAAUUC